rnacentral:rRNA from 1 species
GACGAACGCUGGCGGCGUGCUUAACACAUGCAAGUCGAACGGAAAGGCCCUGCUUUUGUGGGGUGCUCGAGUGGCGAACGGGUGAGUAACACGUGAGUAACCUGCCCUUGACUUUGGGAUAACUCCAGGAAACUGGGGCUAAUACCGGAUAGGAGCUCCUGCUGCAUGGUGGGGGUUGGAAAGUUUCGGCGGUUGGGGAUGGACUCGCGGCUUUUCAGCUUGUUGGUGAGGUAGUGGCUUACCAAGGGUUUGACGGGUAGCCGGCCUGAGAGGGUGAACGGCCACAUUGGGACUGAGAUACGGCCCAGACUCCUACGGGAGUCAGCAGUGGGGAAUAUUGCACAAUGGGCGGAAGCCUGAUGCAGCAACGCCGCGUGCGGGAUGACGGCCUUCGGGUUGUAAACCGCUUUCGCCUGUGACGAAGCGUGAGUGACGGUAAUGGGUAAAGAAGCACCGGCUAACUACGUG